rnacentral:rRNA from 1 species
GACGAACGCUGGCGGCGUGCUUAACACAUGCAAGUCGAACGGAAAGGCCUGCUUUCCCUUGUGGAUUGCGGGUACUCGAGUGGCGAACGGGUGAGUAACACGUGAGUGAUUUGCCCCCAACUUGGGUAUAAGCCUGGGAAACUGGGUCUAAUUCCCGAUAGGACUGCAGGGUGGUGCCUGUGGUGGAAAACGAUUUUCUAGUGGUUGGGGAUGAGCUCGCGGCCUAUCAGCUUGUUGGUGGGGUAAUGGCCUACCAAGGCGGCGACGGGUAGCCGGCCUGAGAGGGUGGACGGCCACAUUGGGACUGAGAUACGGCCCAGACUCCUACGGGAGGCAGCAGUGGGGAAUAUUGCACAAUGGGCGGAAGCCUGAUGCAGCGACGCCGCGGGGGGGAUGACGGCCUUCGGGUUGUAAACUCCUUUCGACCGCGAGGAAGCCACCUGGUUGGAAGGGUGGUGACGGUAGUGGUAGAAGAAGCACCGGCUAACUACGUG